rnacentral:rRNA from 1 species
AACGAACGCUGGCGGCAUGCCUAACACAUGCAAGUCGAACGAGCACUUCGGGGUUUGAGCCGCAGGCGUGUGUAUAGCGUGGGAAAAUGCCCUCACGUUUGCAAUAACUCCCAGAGAAAGUUGCUAUUAUCGCUUAUUGUCCCCGUUCCAAAAAUUGUUGGCCCCUGGAUGGGCCCGCGUUGCUUUAGCUAGUUGGUAGGGUAAAAGCCUACCAAGGCGACGAUCCCUAGCUGGUCUGAGAGGAUGAUCAGCCACACUGGGACUGAGACACGGCCCAGACUCCUACGGGAGGCAGCAGUGGGGAAUAUUGGACAAUGGGCGAAAGCCUGAUCCAGCAAUGCCGCGUGAGUGAUGAAGGCCUUAGGGUUGUAAAGCUCUUUUACCCGGGAUGAUAAUGACGGUACCGGAAGAAUAAGCUCCGGCUAACUCCGUG